UUCCGCGAGAGCACGCGUUGCAAUUGUCAUGUGCUCCUUUACCUGAACCCUAAAUUUUGCAAUAACUGAUCUUAAGUAUGUCUCUUCAGCUACUUGCAUUCAUAUUGGGUAUUAAAACUGAUGUAACGUGAAUUCAGGCUUGAACAAAUUACAUGUACGCACUUUGUAAAUGAGUACGAUCAGCUCACGUGGCAGCAGCGUGAGCAGGCCGUGAAACACGAAGGAGCUGGACCAACAGAUUACCAAAAUAACAUGGUUGUGACUCAUCAAAUGGAAGGUGACUAGCCUUGAACUGAAGCAAGUUUCCAAUGUUGCACAUAACUUAACAAUGCAUAUUUAUAAUAAAA